UUCCGUGGAUGAGGCCUGUGCCGU
rnacentral:miRNA from 1 species